rnacentral:rRNA from 1 species
UACGUAGGGGGCAAGCGUUGUCCGGAUUUAUUGGGCGUAAAGAGCGUGUAGGCGGCCAUACAGGUCAGCUGUGAAAACUCGAGGCUCAACCUCGAGACGCCGAUGGAAACCAUGUGGCUAGAGUCCGGAAGAGGAGAGUGGAAUUCCUGGUGUAGCGGUGAAAUGCGCAGAUAUCAGGAAGAACACCCGUGGCUAAGGCGGCUCUCUAGUACGGUACUGACGCUGAGACGCGAAAGCGUGGGGAGCGAACAGG